GACGAAUGCUGGCGGCGUGCCUAAUACAUGCAAGUCGAGCGGAUGAAAGAGGAGCUUGCUCCUCUAGAUUCAGCGGCGGACGGGUGAGUAACACGUGGGCAACCUGCCCUGUAGAUUGGGAUAACUCCGGGAAACCGGGGCUAAUACCGAAUAAUCCUUCGGACCUCAUGGUCCGAUGUUGAAAGACGGUUUCGGCUGUCACUACAGGAUGGGCCCGCGGCGCAUUAGCUAGUUGGUGAGGUAACGGCUCACCAAGGCCACGAUGCGUAGCCGACCUGAGAGGGUGAUCGGCCACACUGGGACUGAGACACGGCCCAGACUCCUACGGGAGGCAGCAGUAGGGAAUCUUCCACAAUGGACGAAAGUCUGAUGGAGCAACGCCGCGUGAGUGAAGAAGGUUCUCGGAUCGUAAAACUCUGUUGUGAGGGAAGAACAAGUACCGGAGUAACUGCCGGUGCCUUGACGGUACCUCAUUGGAAAGCCACGGCUAACUACGUGCCAGCCGCCGCGGUAA
rnacentral:rRNA from 1 species